UAAUGGUGAUCAAAUUGCAACACAAUACAAGAGUACAGAUAGCGUUAGCAUGGACCUAGUCACACACACUUCCAGGUGAGGGAGGGGCAGCGAGGACAGGCUGCAGGGAUCCCUCCCAGAGCUCCAAGUGCAGUCACUCACACAGGGCUUGCUCUCCAUGCCUCCCGAGAGCUGCACAGCAGGAUCUGUCCUGCUGUUAACCUUCCAGACACCCUCAAUGCUCUUGUCCCUGUGCAUUCCCUGUAAGAAACCACAUUUGCCAAACCCCAACAACCGAGAUCUGCAGCUUUUGCUCCAAGCCAUGGAAUGGAAGGAAGCAGGAACUGUGGGGAUGAAACUCCACUGCAGCUGUAGGAGAGGGAGGGAGACUUCCCUGAUGCUGCAAGGAUGAGAAGACUUUUCUGAGGUUCUGUAUUUAAUGGGGACAGCCUUCCUGCCACUCAGAUACACCUGCAGGCUUUCACUCUCCCAGGAGGUGACUUCCAAGCUCUGCCUGGACGCACUGGCACGCCUGGAGCCUUAGCCACGGGCUCCUCCCCCUGGAAUGGGAGUGCUGAGCACAUUCAGAGGUGGUUUGCAGUCCGGGCUCUUCAGAGCAAGGUGACACAUUCACUCCAUUCACUGCUGCGAGCAGUUCCGCCACCUCCCACGGCCCCGGGGCUGCUGCCUUGCUGCUCCCAGAAGGAGCUGCUCAGGCACAAAGAAAUGCCCCUGGCACUGGGCACAGCCUCCCUCGGGACCCCAUCUCCUCCUGUGCAUCAGAACUGGCAACAGGAGCAGCUCCAGAGAGGUUUUGCUGCUGGAGAUGACCAAGGCAGUAAAAACCAGAGCCAGGCACAGCUGCCAAGCAGCAGGAUGAGAAGACUUUUCUGAGGUUCUGUCUUCUCCAGAGGCAUGGACAGGGAACAGUCUGCUGCACCCACUAAGGACACAAGAUCAUAUCCAGCUUAGCCCUGCUGGUUUUCCCACAUCAUUUGAUGGAUGCAGACUGAACAGAAGAGUCUGAGGACACUUUGGGAUGCAGCUUAGUUGGAAGCAUUGGGAUAACAUGGUAAUAACUAAUUAAAAAAUCCCUCCUGCCUUCCUAUGACAGAAAUGCAGCAGCACAUCCUGCCACAGGACGAGCUGGGUGUUUGAAGCACAGUAAUCAGGUCUGCAGCACUUGCCAGGAUCAGCUCCAUCCCACUCUGCAGGUCCAUGGAGGCUGGGCUUUGAGCCAUGGGGAUGUGUAAGCCAGCCACUGCACAGUGACAAGAGAGGUUCCAAAAUCCAGGGAUCACAUUCCUCCUCUGGGUCACUCUGAGCAGGGGACAGGCACUGAUGAGCACAAGGAAUGCAUCCAGGCACAGUGUUCCAGCUUUGCUGCCAGAGCUGGGGGUUCUAUCUUUAAAUAAAACACACUUAGCACAUGACAGGGAAAAAGGGAAUUGCAUGAACAAUCUACAUCCACAGAAGGGCCAGCACAAAGAAAGCCAAGCAAAGGGAAUCAGGCAACUUAAAUUACUAAAUCAAGUUAAAAAACUGGACAGGGGUGGAAAAGGUUGAUGACAUGACAAGUUCAGGAUUCCUAGAAAGGUAGUGACCAGAGCCCCUGGCCUCACGUGCUGUUUGACAUUACAACGUACUCAAUGCACAGCUUCAAAGGAGCAAGAUCCUAGUUCCAAAAAUAGCUAAGCUGGGUCAGGUUUUCAGUUAAAUGCUAAAGGCUCCUCCAUCUAGUUCACAGAAAAAUCCUCAUCAACAAAUGGUCAACCCACAGGAGGUACACAGAGCACAUCCUCCCAUCUCAACCAUCACCAGACCUGCUUUUAGUACACCACAACUGUGGGCAUGCCAUCAGCAAAAAGGUCAGAACUGUUUAAACACCUCACUGCAAAUGAGCUCAUCCCAACAUGAGCAGAUGUGUUAGUGCAUCCUCCAAGCUGAAGCUGUUACAGGUUCAGGACUGUUUCAGGGCAUGUGUGGCUUGUUAAUGUCCUGUCACCUCAUGGUUAUGGCUCCUGGCCCACCAGAAAGAGAAACCAUCCUCCUCCUUUCCCUCAGCUGUCACUGCUGCCUCCUCUCCCAUACGGUCUCUGAUCUCUUCCAGUCACUGCCAAUUUCCAAAGGCAGCCAGAUCUGCCACAAAAAUCAUUCCUGGGUGGCUCAGUUGCAAAGCAGUUAAAGAGAAUCCCCCCAAACUGUUCACCAUCAGUGCAGCCCCUUCCCUGCACUUCUCAGUGACCCCAAAGGAAACCAUGGGAGGGCAACUCUGCCACGGCCAAGGUGUACUGGAGAGGGCAGCAGGAGCACAACAGGUCAGGAAGGGCAAGGCCAUGGGUGCAGGCUGCCACAAACCCCAGCCACACCAGCAGCACCAGCUCACACUGCAGUUUUGAUGCCACAGGUGUCACCCAGGACCACAGGCUGCUCCCCAGACACCAACACCCUGUGGCUAACACGAGUUCCAGGUGACCCAACCCGAGCUUUGCAGCCCUGCACAGCAAUCUGUCCCCUUCCCCUGUGGCCCUGCAGUGUCCCUCAGCCAGGACACGUGGCCACGUGCUCCUUCCUUGUCCAGAGCAGCUCUGCUGUGCCCUGGAGCUGACUGUCCCCAGGGCAGCAGGGUGCUCUGGCCCUGCAGAGGGACACAGCUGCCUGCAGGAGCUCACACCUGCCCAGCACCAUCGAGAGAUGACACAAGAGGAGCAGAUUUAGACCAAAAGCAGUGGACAUUUAUUCCUCGUUUGUGCAAGAGUGUCAAGAUGCAUUUGGGAAUGGCUGGGACAGACCCUGUGGCCGGAGAGCCAGCGGCUCCAGCCUCUCCUGCCCGAUGGCUUGGGUUACAAUUCUACUAAGAGGAGAUAAACUUGCAGACUCACCUACUGUCACACCAACGAUGCUGGCAAAUACACUUGUAUACAAAGAAAAGUUUCAAACUACAUUUUUUCACUAGAUUCAAGUGAAGACUUUGUUCCAAAAAAAAAAAAAAAA